CUGUAGCAAGGAUUUUACUAGGUUUUUUUUUUUUUCUUUCCCUCUUUCUUCUUGUAGGUGCACAAAAGCAGCAGCGCUUUGAAUCUGUACCUCAGUGGCAGCUUAUCACUGCCUCUCAUUGAAGGAGUUCACUCUCCCCAGUUUCUUACCCUGCCUAGAAUUUUCUUUGGUUAUCGCUGGAGCUCAGUGCCAGCACUACGAAUCCACUGCUCCUGGUGGCCGUUUUACCCAUGAGGAGAUAGAGAGAGAGAAAGAGUCACAGAAAGACCAGAGCACUACUCAGCUCUGGCCAGUAAUGGUGCUGGGGAAUGAACCUGGGAACUCAGAGCUUCAGG